UCACAAAUGCUCUUGAAAUAUACGACAGCUUGAGGGAUGGAGUCCAUUUCAUGGCAUCCAAUAAUGAUUGUGGUGUAAGAGAAUAUGACAUGGAGAGGUUUCAGCUCCUGAAUCACUUCCGCUUCUCUUGGCCGGUGAAUCAUACGUCAUUGAGUCCUGACCGUAGAUUAAUAGGAGUUGUUGGUGAUCACCUGGAUGGUUUGCUGGUCGAUGCAC